GAUGAACGCUGGCGGCGUGCCUAAUACAUGCAAGUCGAGCGAACAGACGAGGAGCUUGCUCCUCUGACGUUAGCGGCGGACGGGUGAGUAACACGUGGAUAACCUACCUAUAAGACUGGGAUAACUUCGGGAAACCGGAGCUAAUACCGGAUAAUAUAUUGAACCGCAUGGUUCAAUAGUGAAAGACGGUUUUGCUGUCACUUAUAGAUGGAUCCGCGCCGCAUUAGCUAGUUGGUAAGGUAACGGCUUACCAAGGCAACGAUGCGUAGCCGACCUGAGAGGGGGAUCGGCCACUCUGGAACUGAGACACGGUCCAGACUCCUACGGGAGGCAGCAGUAGGGAAUCUUCCGCAAUGGGCGAAAGCUUGACGGAGCAACGCCGCGUGGGUGAUGAAGGGCUUCGGAUCGUAAAACGCUGUUAUUAGGGAAGAACAAAUGUGUAAGUAACUAUGCACGUCUUGACGGUACCUAAUCAGAAAGCCACGGCUAACUACGU
rnacentral:rRNA from 1 species